UGAGGAAUAUUGGACAAUGGAGGCAACUCUGAUCCAGCCAUGCCGCGUGAAGGACUAAGGCCCUAUGGGUCGUAAACUUCUUUUGACGCAGAGCAAUAAGGAUUACGUGUAGUCUGAUGAGAGUAUGCGUCGAAUAAGCAUCGGCUAACUCCGUGCCAGCAGCCGCGGUAAUACGGAGGAUGCAAGCGUUAUCCGGAUUCAUUGGGUUUAAAGGGUGCGUAGGUUGCCGAUUAAGUCAGCGGUGAAAGUCAGUGGCUCAACCAUUGAAUUGCCGUUGAAACUGGUUGGCUUGAGUACGUACGGGGCAGGCGGAAUGCGUGGUGUAGCGGUGAAAUGCAUAGAUAUCACGCAGAACCCCGAUCGCGAAGGCAGCCUGCCAGGCCGUGACUGACACUGAUGCACGAAAGCGUGGGUAUCGAACAGGAUUAGAUACCCUGGUAGU
rnacentral:rRNA from 1 species